rnacentral:rRNA from 1 species
CAGCAGCCGCGGGAAAACGGAGGGUGCAAGCGUUAAUCGGAAUUACUGGGCGUAAAGCGUGCGUAGGCGGCUUCUUAAGUCGGAUGUGAAAUCCCUGAGCUUAACUUAGGAAUUGCAUUCGAUACUGGGAAGCUAGAGUAUGGGAGAGGAUGGUAGAAUUCCAGGUGUAGCGGUGAAAUGCGUAGAGAUCUGGAGGAAUACCGAUGGCGAAGGCAGCCAUCUGGCCUAAUACUGACGCUGAGGUACGAAAGCAUGGGGAGCAAACAGGAUUAGAUACCCGCGUAGUCCCUGUCUCUUAUAC